rnacentral:rRNA from 1 species
CCUACGGGUGGCAGCAGUGGGGGAUAUUGCACAAUGGGGGAAACCCUGAUGCAGCGACGCCGCGUGGGUGAAGAAGUAUUUCGGUAUGUAAAGCCCUAUCAGCAGGGAAGAAAGAAGACGGUACCUGACUAAGAAGCCCCGGCUAACUACGUGCCAGCAGCCGCGGUAAUACGUAGGGGGCGAGCGUUAUCCGGAUUCACUGGGUGUAAAGGGAGCGUAGACGGCCGUGCAAGCCAGGAGUGAAAGCCCGGGGCCCAACCCCGGGACUGCUCGUGGAACUGUGCGGCUGGAGUGCGGGAGGGGCAGGCGGAAUUCCUGGUGUAGCGGUGAAAUGCGUAGAUAUCAGGAGGAACACCGGCGGCGAAGGCGGCCUGCUGGACCGCGACUGACGUUGAGGCUCGAAAGCGUGGGGAGCGAACAGGAUUAGAUACCCUAGUAGUC